GAAAUCGAUAUUUGAAAAAUGAGUUCUAAAAUUGGCCUAAUAAAAUAAAAAUACAUUACACCUCUAAAUUAUCUACCUAAAUCUUAAUAUUAGAAUAAUCAUCUGCACACCUAAUAAAUUCAACAUUCAAUAUAUCUAUUGUUCACAUUGUUUAGUAUUUUCAUUGUUUACCUAUACUUUUCUUA